UGGGGAAUAUUGCACAAUGGGCGCAAGCCUGAUGCAGCCAUGCCGCGUGUAUGAAGAAGGCCUUCGGGUUGUAAAGUACUUUCAGCGGGGAGGAAGGCGAUAAGGUUAAUAACCUUGUCGAUUGACGUUACCCGCAGAAGAAGCACCGGCUAACUCCGUGCCAGCAGCCGCGGUAAUACGGAGGGUGCAAGCGUUAAUGGGAAUUACUGGGCGUAAAGCGCACGCAGGCGGUCUGUCAAGUCGGAUGUGAAAUCCCCGGGCUCAACCUGGGAACUGCAUUCGAAACUGGCAGGCUAGAGUCUUGUAGAGGGGGGUAGAAUUCCAGGUGUAGCGGUGAAAUGCGUAGAGAUCUGGAGGAAUACCGGUGGCGAAGGCGGCCCCCUGGACAAAGACUGACGCUCAGGUGCGAAAGCGUGGGGAGCAAACA
rnacentral:rRNA from 1 species